rnacentral:tRNA from 1 species
GCCCCUGUCGUCUAGAGGCCCAGGACGCCAGCCUCUCAAGCUGGAAACGGCGGUUCGAAUCCGCUCGGGGGUACCA